rnacentral:rRNA from 1 species
UUAAAUCAGUUAUCGUUUAUUUGAUAGUACCUUACUACUUGGAUAACCGUGGUAAUUCUAGAGCUAAUACAUGCUAAAAACCCCGACUUCGGAAGGGGUGUAUUUAUUAGAUAAAAAGCCAAUGCCCUCCGGGGCUCUUUGGUGAUUCAUAGUAACUUAACGGAUCGCAUGGCCUUGCGCCGGCGACGGUUCAUUCAAAUUUCUGCCCUAUCAACUUUCGAUGGUAAGGUAUUGGCUUACCAUGGUUUCAACGGGUAACGGGGAAUUAGGGUUCGAUUCCGGAGAGGGAGCCUGAGAAACGGCUACCACAUCCAAGGAAGGCAGCAGGCGCGCAAAUUACCCAAUCCCGACACGGGGAGGUAGUGACAAUAAAUACUGAUACAGGGCUCUUUUGGGUCUUGUAAUCGGAAUGAGUACAAUUUAAACCCCUUAACGAGGAACAAUUGGAGGGCAAGUCUGGUGCCAGCAGCCGCGGUAAUUCCAGCUCCAAUAGCGUAUAUUAAAGUUGUUGCAGUUAAAAAGCUCGUAGUUGAACCUUGGGCCUGGCUGGCCGGUCCGCCUCACCGCGUGUACUGGUCGGCCGGGCCUUUCCUUCUGGAGAACCCCAUGCCCUUCACUGGGUGUGCGGGGGAACCAGGACUUUUACUGUGAAAAAAUUAGAGUGUUCAAAGCAGGCCUUUGCUCGAAUACGUUAGCAUGGAAUAAUAGAAUAGGACGUGCGAUCCUAUUUUGUUGGUUUCUAGGACCGCCGUAAUGAUUAAUAGGGAUAGUCGGGGGCAUCAGUAUUCAAUUGUCAGAGGUGAAAUUCUUGGAUUUAUUGAAGACUAACUACUGCGAAAGCAUUUGCCAAGGAUGUUUUCAUUAAUCAGUGAACGAAA